rnacentral:lncRNA from 1 species
CGCAUAAAUCUGAGAAACGUGAGUUUGUCAUCAUUUUUUAUCUAGACAUAGGAUAGGUUGAGUGAAAAUAUUACUGAUGUUUAACGUUAAAAAUGGACCAAAAGAUUAAUGCUAAACAACAUUUGACAUGUUUGAACGAACAUAAAUAGAUUAUUUACUAGGUUUUUUUAGCUUUUCGGCGUGAUUUUACCAGCCUCCACCACGUUUUGUGGGAGCAUAAUGAACGCUAAGAACUUGGUGUUAUUUGGACAUAAAUUAUGAACUUUGUCAAAAGAAACCACAUUUGUUCCGGACCUGGAAUGCCUUCCGGACCUGGGAUCCUGCCUUCUGAUGGAGAUAAUCAAAGCGAGUCCCAGUGGACCCUUCACUUCAAACACACCAAAGACAAAACAGCAGCUCACUCAGUAUCUCAUUCAGGCUGUGCUCAAAUGAAAGAUAGAGAUCCUUCACUUCGUUCAUGGCUCUAUCAGCCACUCCUAGUCGAGGACUGUGCUCUCUCUCUGUUUGGUAUUAAAGUACUUUGCUGUAACUUGUGUCUUGAGGUUAUGAAUGGACUGUAUCAAUGUCUUGUAGGUUGAUUGAAUAGACUACGGUAGCUAAAUAAUUGACUGUGUCAUGUAAUAUGUCCUGUUAUGAAUUGUUUUUGUACGCAGUGUCUUAGAGUUACAGGUAAUGCCUUGAGGUUAUACAUUGACUGAGCACUCUUAGAAGUAAAAGUUCCUGGAAGAACCUUUUCGGGUUCUAAAAAUUGCCAUACCAGUGGAACCUUUCCAGUUCUAAAAGGUUCCUCGAGGAACCCCUGUGUAAAGGGUCUUCGAGGAACCCCUGUGUAAAGGGUCUUCGAGGAACCCCUGUGUAAAGGCUCAAACCGGAACCUUUUUGUGAUGGAAGGGGU